CCUAUAGUGCCGCCAGCGGUCCCCUAUCUGGGGCCCAAAGCCCCAGCCACAGCAGUCGGUUUCGCGGAUUCCGCGAGUCCUGAUCUCAGGCUGGAGCCCAUGGCCUUGCCGGCUCCGGUCGGCCUGCGCCAUGGGGCCCACUGACACCGUGCUCCCGUCUCGGCGGUUGCCGCUGUCUCCAGGGGUGGACCACCACCUCGACCCCGUCCCUCGAGGAACGUCUCGAUGA
rfam:Cyanobium sp. PCC 7001 scf_1106012173546 genomic scaffold, whole genome shotgun sequence.